rnacentral:rRNA from 2 species
CGGGAGGCAGCAGUGGGGAAUUUUGCACAAUGGGGGCAACCCUGAUGCAGCGACGCCGCGUGAUUUAGAAGGCCUUCGGGUUGUAAAAAUCUUUUGUAUAGGAAGAAAAUGACAGUACUAUACGAAUAAGGUCCGGCUAAUUACGUGCCAGCAGCCGCGGUAAUACGUAAGGACCGAGCGUUGUCCGGAAUCAUUGGGCGUAAAGGGUACGUAGGCGGUUAGAAAAGUUAGAAGUGAAAGGCUAUAGCUCAACUAUAGUAAGCUUUUAAAACUGUUUAACUUGAGAGAUGGAAGGGAAAGUGGAAUUCCUAGUGUAGCGGUGAAAUGCGCAGAUAUUAGGAGGAAUACCGGUGGCGAAGGCGACUUUCUGGCCAUUAUCUGACGCUGAGGUACGAAAGCGUGG